AUGCGGAGCAGAAAGUGGCGUCACCAAGCUUUUUCCCAGGGAGCUACACUCAGCAUCUCAGCAUUGAACUCUGCUUUGAACUGUCUGCCAGUAUCUGUUCUUUACCUCCAUUUAUUUUGUGCAUCUAUUAGCAAGAGAUGUCCUAAAGACUGUAUAUCAAGGGAUUCAACAUGGGAAUCACAGUGGUAUAAAAUACCGAGGACACUUUCUCCUGGAUGAGUGACCUGCUGGAAGCAGGUUUGAGAUACAUGGACAUGAGAGUCCCAUAAAAUAUUAGAACAGCUGUCAAGUGGGAGCUGCAGGUGCUGAAGGCUUUGGACCUGCCCUGCAUAGAGUGGAUGUGGAGGAUUUUGGAGAGGAUGAAACCAUAAGAAAUGAUGAUCGUCAGGCUGGUGGCUACCAUGUUAAAUCCGCCAAUGACAAAAAUCAAAAGCUCAUCAAUAUAAGUGCUUGAACAAGAGAGUUGAAUAAGUGGAAUGAUGUCACAGAAAUAAUGUUUAAUGAUGUUUGGGCCACAGAAAGUCAGCCUUAAUAUACAACCUCCAUGGAUCAUAGCAUCAAUCAAGCCUACUGAGAAGCCAGCAGCUACCAGCAGAGAACAAGCCCGAGGAGACAUGAUGACAUGGUACAGCAGGGAGCUGCAGAUGGCGACAUAGCGAUCAUAGGCCAUGGCAGCUAACAUGUAGCACUCAGAAAUGACAAAAAUGCAAAAAAAAAAAAAGCUGAGUCAUGCAACCAGAAUAGGAGAUGGCUUUAUCGUUGCAUAAAAAGUCUGCCAACAUUCUGGGGGUAAUAACAGAAGAAUAGCAUACAUCUAAAAAAGACAAACUACUGAGGAAAUGGUACAUGGGGGUGUGAAGUUGAGAACUCAACCCAAUUAUUGAGAUCAUUCCAAGAUUUCCCGCCACUGUAACUGCAUAAAUCCCUGAGAAGAGGCAGAAAAGAGGCAGCUGAAGCUCAGGUUGGUCGGUUAGUCCUGAAAGAAGAAACCCAGUCACAUGCAGAUUGAUUUCUUAGGCCCAUUCUCUUCUGAGAAAUCUGUAGAGAUAAGAGGAAAAGAGCCAAAUCAGGCAGUCAGAAUCCUAGCCUGUCUCCGAUUCCCUGUAGCCCAGGUACUUCUGGCAUGAAAAUGUGCAACUAAGGUUAUCUUAUCACCUUGGCACCACGCUUGUGCCUCCAUUGAUGUGCAGGGAUUUUGAACCCCACACCCCCCAAGGCAGAACUUUGAUAACAUAGUAAGUAAGCAUCUAUUUAACUGUAGGUUUUAGGAACUAGAAAUGAACUUUAGCAGGCUCUCCGGCGUGUCAAAUUCUUUUAGCCAAGUAUGAAAUGCUUAACUCUAGAGCCAGAAAGAAGCCUAAAGACACAGGAGAGGCUUUCUAAAGCAAAUCAGCCAAAGUUAAAUAGGUUUCUUAACUAAAAAAAAAAUAAUAAUAAUUAAAAAAACAUUAAUUAAUUAAUUUUCUUAACUGCAAGAUAUUUAGGAAUCUUCAAGAGAGCUAGGUAACACAAUAUUUUCCAAAUUCAUUUGAUUGUAGAGUCUCCCACCU
rnacentral:lncRNA from 1 species